rnacentral:tRNA from 1 species
GGGCCCGUAGCUUAGCUUGGAUAGAGCGCCGGCCUUCGGAGCCGGUGGUCCGGGGUUCAAAUCCCCGCGGGCCCGCCA